ACAAUGUCGGCUUCAAAGGUCAUUUUAAGAGUCAAGUCAAAGAUGUUCUGACCUGCUGUCCACUCUUGCUAGAGGACUUACUCUAUGCUGAGACACAGGGAUCACUGCUUCACUGCAACAAGCCAAGUGUUUGCUGCUUGUGCUGGUGUUGUGAGUCCUUUUAAACUGUGUUUAGUUGGUUUUAAGCUAGUGCUGCCUUACCUGCUAAGGAACUGAGCAAACUCCACUUUACUGAUGAAGAAAGUGAGAUGCAGUUGAAAUCUUCAGCAAAAGCUACUCUCCCUGCUCUCAUGGAUGCUAACGGUGGAGGAGAAGGGGCUCUCUGAUCCUCAACUGGCAGUCAGCCGGUUGGUGCUCUGCCCAAACCAGCUUCAA